rnacentral:rRNA from 1 species
UCAGUCGACUCCUACGGGGAGGCAGCAGUGGGGGAAUAUUGCACAAUGGGCGCAAGCCUGAUGCAGCCAUGCCGCGUGUAUGAAGAAGGCCUUCGGGUUGUAAAGUACUUUCAGCAGUGAGGAAGGUGGAGUCGUUAAUAGCGGCCUCAUUUGACGUUAGCUGCAGAAGAAGCACCGGCUAACUCCGUGCCAGCAGCCGCGGUAAUACGGAGGGUGCGAGCGUUAAUCGGAAUUACUGGGCGUAAAGCGCAUGCAGGUGGUUUGUUAAGUCAGAUGUGAAAGACCCGGGGCUCAACCUCGGAAUUGCAUUUGAAACUGGCAGACUAGAGUACUGUAGAGGGGGGUAGGAAUUUCAGGUGUAGCGGUGAAAUGCGUAGAGAUCUGAAGGAAUACCGGUGGCGAAGGCGGCCCCCUGGACAGAUACUGACACUCAGAUGCGAAAGCGUGGGGAGCAAACAGGAUUAGAUACCCUGGUAG